rnacentral:ncRNA from 1 species
GGCCGGAUAAGGCGUUCACGCCGCAUCCGGCAACCGUGCCCAACGGCCUGAUGCGACGCUUGACGCGUCUUAUCAGGCC